rnacentral:rRNA from 1 species
GCCAGCAGCCAUAUCACUCUGCAACUCACAACUAGCAACCCACUGAAGCUAAGCAGGUGUGAGCCUGGUCAGUACUUGGAUGUGAGACCUGCUGGAAGAAACUAAGGUUGCUGCUGGAA